GACGAACGCUGGCGGCGUGCCUAAUACAUGCCAGUUGAGCGCUGAAGGUUGGUACUUGUACCAACUGGAUGAGCAGCGAACGGGUGAGUAACGCGUGGGGAAUCUGCCUUUGAGCGGGGGACAACGUUUGGAAACGAAUGCUAAUACCGCAUAAAAACUUUAAACACAAGUUUUAAGUUUGAAAGAUGCAAUUGCAUCACUCAAAGAUGAUCCCGCGUUGUAUUAGCUAGUUGGUGAGGUAAAGGCUCACCAAGGCGAUGAUACAUAGCCGACCUGAGAGGGUGAUCGGCCACAUUGGGACUGAGACACGGCCCAAACUCCUACGGGAGGCAGCAGUAGGGAAUCUUCGGCAAUGGACGAAAGUCUGACCGAGCAACGCCGCGUGAGUGAAGAAGGUUUUCGGAUCGUAAAACUCUGUUGGUAGAGAAGAACGUUGGUGAGAGUGGAAAGCUCAUCAAGUGACGGUAACUACCCAGAAAGGGACGGCUAACUACGUG
rnacentral:rRNA from 1 species